CCCUCAUACAUUAUAGGCAGAAAUCUAAGAGGCAAUUAUUUAAAAAAAAAAAAACCACUUUUGACAUUUCUUAAAAGGUUAGAGUUAAAAACUGAGUGUACAUUUCCACUCCUAUGUGGAGCCUGACAGUAGUUGCUGAAACAAAAGCAUGUGCAUGGCUGUUAGACCAGUCUGUGCUAGUCGAGACGUGGAAGCAAACCAAAUGCCCAAGCCAAAUGUGGUAUAUCCAGUCAAUGAAGUAAUAUUAAGCCAUAAACAACAACAACACAACAACUAUGAAAUACUAAAGCCUGUCACAAUAAAAGCAGACUUCUUGAAAACAUUAUGCUCCAUGGGAGAAGCCAGCCACAGCAAAGAUAAAUGGAUGGAGAUGAAAACCAGACGAAUGGUUACCAGUGGGUAGGCUGGUGAGGUGGGUAGUGGCGGCUAAUGGGUAAAAGGUUUAUUUAGAAGAGUGAGUGUGCGUGUGUGCGUGCGCGCGUGUCCGUGGGCAUGCACGUGUUCUUUAUUUCCCUCCUUAUGGGAAUGUUCAGAGGGCCUGGCUGGUGACUCCAAGUGUGCCCAGUACCAUCUGUGAGGACCUGGCUUUGAGCUCCUGUUCCCCUUCCACAGGUGGGAAGCUUCCUGAGCAGAGCUGCAGGUGUUUCUCCUUUCUGUAUGUCUCUCCCUCUCUAUGGUUCACUCCUUAUCGGGAACAACAAACAGAUAUCAGAAACUACCUUGUUUAAAAUAUCGGCACUUCAGUUUGCUCUCCUGUGAAAUCAGUCAUGUGACCCUGUCCCACAGGGUAGCUGUAAGGACCAACAUCAUCUGAAUGGGCUCAACCCAGGGAAGCCACAGGCAUGUUCACAGCGGGGCACAUGGGAAAUGCGUGUGAUGUCUCAGGGUCCUGGUAGAAGCCUCCCCACCCCCAACAGGACAGAGCAGCUCAGUGAGUUGCCACUUUCAGUUGCCAAGCUGCAGAUUCUACCAUGACACCAUUCUUAACUUCUUUGGGCAGACAACUUCACCAAUGUGUCCUAA